rnacentral:rRNA from 1 species
AGCAGCCGCCGCGGUAAUACGGAGGGUGCAAGCGUUAAUCGGAAUUACUGGGCGUAAAGCGCACGCAGGCGGUCUGACAAGUCAGAUGUGAAAUCCCCGGGCUUAACCUGGGAACUGCAUUUGAAACUGUCAGGCUGGAGUCUUGUAGAGGGGGGUAGAAUUCCAGGUGUAGCGGUGAAAUGCGUAGAGAUCUGGAGGAAUACCGGUGGCGAAGGCGGCCCCCUGGACAAAGACUGACGCUUAGGUGCGAAAGCGUGGGGAGCAAACAGGAUUAGAUACCCGCGUAGUCCCUGUCUCUUAUAC